GACGACUCUCUCUGACAGGCAGAUGUGGGUCUCUAUGCUUAUGGAAAGAAAGGUGUAAAACAAGGCAAGGCCACCUCUUUACCGAUUCAAGUACGAAAGAACUGAUGAGGGUGAGGAAGCUGAGCUUUCUCCAACAAUCUUCUCAAAGCUGCAAAGUGAGAGGACAGCCAUGAGUCUGCUGUGAUAAUGGAUGGCAGGAGAGGUGACAGGAAGAGGGUUGAAAGAUGUGUGAAGCACAACAGCGUGGUAGAGACGGAGUACGAUGAUGUCGAUGUGAAGGAAGUGCAUGUUGUGCAAAUACUCCCUUCAAGGCCCAUAAAAGAUGAGGAGCACGUAUAUGCAGACAGGGAUCUUCCAAGAUCAUCAUCCAGCCACAGCCUCUUGUCCAUCUGCUCGGGCGACGCCAACGUCGACACAACAACAGGCAAGAUACGAGACAUAAAUGUGAAGGAAUUAGGAGAUUUCUUUGCAGUGGAAGGGUGUGUGAAAUGUAUAGAGAAAUUCUAUUUUAGAUUUGGUCUUUCAUCAGUACAAAACAUUUUAGGUAAGUGUUCCAUCAAAAAGCCAUUUAUUAUAUUUGAUUUUAUUGUUGUUUUGGUUUUACUUUUUCUCCCCACAAAUUGUACAAGUAAAUGCAGUUUCUGACCAACUAAUAAAAUAGCUUGGAGUGGAGGAUCA
rnacentral:lncRNA from 1 species